CCCUAUUCUUGAAUCACCGGUGACAUGGCGCAAUUAAAACACAGGAUUGCUAUUUGACUAUUUUUCAAUUUUUUUUACUAAAUGUGUUCACACUUAAUAAAAAAAACUUCUUAAGCAGCGACUAAACCACACCGCCACUUCACCAAAAGGUACAACAAAUCCCUCUUCUUGAAUUGAAAUUCCUCCAACGCUCCAACGCCCCAGUUUCAUUGGAUGCUCUUUGGCAAAUUGAAGGGUGAUUUCAACGUUAUCAAAUUUGAAUGCUUUGUAAUAUUUUAAUUAAAAUUAUCUCGGGUUCUUGCCAGAAUCUCUUCCGUCCAAUGCCAUCUGCAAGAGACUUUAACAAUUGGACCACAAAAUUCCUCGAAAGACUUCCAAUCGGCCAAGGUAUGCUACUUAUCCUUUCUCUACCAAUUUAUUUUACUUCUCUAGCAAUAAAGAUUUCCAUGUACAGAAAACUCAAUUUAUUGUUGGAUGCAAAAUCCAACAAUUGUGAGAAUAGAAAACUCACUUGUGUUUGUCUAUGAAUGGAUUUAUCGAACCAUUCGAACCAGAUACAUGCAUAAACCAUGUCAAUUUUCAGUCACUAUUAUAUUUUUAACUGGUUGGGUUAAGCAAGACCGUUCAUUAAGUGAUUUAAAUGAAUAUCUAUUUUUUUGUUAUAUUUUAGUUUUAAGUAAAACUUUUAUGUCAACAAAUUUUAUUUUAAAAAUUAACUAAAUAGGUUGAGUGACUUUGUAGGUAAAACACCUAUAGUUGAGUGAAUUUAUGUGAAAAAAUUCAUAGUUGAGUAUCUUUUGAGUUAAGAAUCAAAGUUGUGUGACUUUAUGUUGAAAAAGCUUAUACUUGAGCAACUUUUGAGUUAAAAAUCAAGGUUGAGGGAUUUUAUGUGAAAAGAAGCCUGAGAUAUUAUCUCAUGAAUCUCUGAAAGCACAAUUGAUGUUUAGAGGAAGUUUGUUCUCUCUGCACAAGUAAAAUUUUCUUUGACCCGAUGAAGUUGGUGUUCUUUAUCUUCUGAACUAUCUCAGUUUGUAACUUUCAUCAAACUUUAGCACAUUCACUGUUGUUGCACCAACUUCAUCCGGUUAAGACCUAUUUAUAACCCCAUUGCCAUUGUAGACACUUGUGAGUUUUGCAUGUUACUUUCUUGUGCAAACAUUCACUACAGUAAACAUCAACCACCUGCAUCCUGGACACGAAUACAAACCACUUUACUGAGUUAUAUUGAACAAUGGCUGUUAGAUGACAUUUGUGGUGCAAGAUUUAUGUUCCGAGAUAGUAGAUCAUUAUGUUUUAGAGAAGCUUAAGUAAAAAACAAAAUGAAAGAACACUUUUUUGAAAAAUCUAUUUUUAAGAAUGAUAUGACUGUUUUGUUAGGACUGAAUUUCUCAAUUUCUUCCUGUCAAUGGUUGUUUUAAUCUCUUGCACAAACAUAUAUGAUUCAAAUAUAUAUAAGGAGUGAAGUCGAGGCAUGCUUCGAAAAUACUGAACCACUAUGUUAUUUUCUAAAAUUCUCCCUCCUCUUCCAAUCUACGUUUUUUGUAUCUACCGUUAUUCCUUAACCUCAUUUCAUGGAUAUAUUUUCCCUUAUCUAAUUACUUAAGGCUCUUUCAACAAUCAGAAACUUACUGUUUAGAGGUAUGCAAAAUUCUUGCAAAAUUUCUAGGUAGUUGUUGUGAUGCGAGAUGUCAUGUCCUAAAUCUUUGAUGUUGAACGACACACAUCUACGACAGAGAAGUCUAACUUUGCUAAACUAUGUAAUUAAACUGCAUUUGGUGAGAAUAUGAAGGAGUCCCCUGAAUUAUACGUGCUAAUAACUAUAUAUAUAAAUGAGAAUCUUCAUCCAAGUGAAGUGACAGCCUACAAGAUUUGCAUUUAUCUAGUUUUAGAGAAUUUUGACAUUUAAGUCUCUUUCUUCGCUUAACUCUAGAUCUGCAUAAGGGCGAUCAAUCUGAAAUAGUACCUUAUUCAUUCUACCUCAACAGGUGGCUUAAAAAAUACAUAGCAAUUCACCGUUAAAUAGCUAAAGAAGAUGUUCCCAUUCGUCGUGUUCUUCUUACAUCCCUAUCGAUCUCCUUUUCCUCCCCGUGCUUCCCGUUCUUCUUACAUCUCUAUUGAUCUUCUUUUUCUCCCCAAACUUCCGAACAUCUUUCCUUCAAGACCUUCUGCAAAAGAUACUGAAAAUUUUUCUUCACAACCUUUGCAGUUGUACAAAACGUAGGCAAAAUCACUACAAACCCUCUAGGUAUUAUUCUUUCCAAUUCACAAAUCCAUUGCUAUAAUUCCGCCCCAUGAUAUUUUCCCAAUUACCUUUCCUAGGACUACUUCUGCUUGCUUAUGAUCGAAUCCUCACUAUUGUGGAAAAAAAAACUUCAACUUUUACAUGAUACUUCUCUUUUUUUGUAUAUAUUGAUCUUUUUCAGAUCUUUUCAGGAUUAUCGAUUUUGAAAUUGUCCUUUUCCCUUUAUAUAUAACAUUUGGUAUAUUAAUAAAAUAUUCAUAUUCAUCUUCGGGCCAUUCAAAAUCGCCCGCCCAGGUAUGAUGCUUUUCAAUUCUCUUACAAUUUACUUUUUCUUUGUCCUUGAAUCGUUUCCACACUUCAAUUUUUCUGAAAUGGUUAUGUAAUUAGUUCCUAGUUCUUUUAGAAAAGAUCUGACAGUCUGUUUAUGGUGGUCAUAAUUUUAAGAUCUCUUCUACUAAGAGACAGAAGGAAAUAUGUUCUUUAAUAUUAAUUUAUGGAAGAACAUUGUCUAAUAUUUCGAUCGAUUAUUACAGGAUGUUAUUUUGUUGAUUCUACUGUUGUAGUAUUUACAGGACGUGGAAAAUGUGAAACAUACUAAUGUGAAAUGGGAUUUUUCUUGACUAAUGAAAUAUCGAAGAUAGGGUGAUUGUUUUCUAACUUCUCUGUUACCUCAACAUUCUCAUCAUAGAGAAUUGUUCAUACUUUAUAAUGUGAUCAACUACGAUGAGAAAUAAUUAAUUCUGUAUUCAUGAUUCAGUAAAAUACUUAAAGAGCAGCACCAAAUGAGGAGCUGUAAAUUGUUGAUCUUUUGAAAUGAAAAAAAAAACAUAUUUCCUUAAAGGAGCUUAGCCAAUAGAGGUGUCUUAGUUGUCUCUCUAGAACAUCUGCUUUUGCAUAUAUUUAAUUAGUUUAUUGCUUGGUUUUGUACACCCUUACAUAUUUCAUACCUAUUUUUAUAUUUUAGUUGUUACUGCUUUAAAUCUGUUGAACAUGUUUGAUUUUUUCUCUCAUACAGUUAUAUAGUUAAAAAUUGAAAAUGCAGAAUCUAUUUUGAAGUACAUUUCUGUUCAUUAUUUUUUGUCACUUAUUAGUCAUCAUACUAUGGAAUCUUUUUUUCAUUUGCCUAAGCUUUUUAGUUGAAUUGCAGAUGGUAUCGCUAAACUAUGGUUUACUUGAAAAUAUUAUAAGAAAAUUUGUGUUUAUUUUUUGCUGUCCAGAUAUCAUUAAUUGUUAUAGUAAUUGUCAUCAAUCCUUUGUUUAGUUACUUUGAACAUAAAAUAUUUUAAGUUAUAUGACUAUUUUCCCCAUCUUUUCUAUCACGUUGGUCUCAACCAAUAUGUAUAGAUGGACAUGUUUUGGAAAUCAAUAUCGGCAUCUGAUACUGUUAUUAAGGAGUUGAAAAACACAAAUGUCUUGGAUAAUGUUCUUUAAUUUUCCUAUUUUGAUUGUAAUUGUACAUGUUUCUUUAUGAUUUGCCGAUUUUUGUUAUGACUAGGAAUAUUGUCCUAAUCCAUGAGGAAAUGAAUAUCCUUUCUAUAACACCGGUGAAGUAGCUUUAUCCUGGUAACAAAGGUGAGAAGUUUUUGUAAUAAAUGAUGUUCUGUCAAAGUUGAGUGAUGAAAUUUAAGGGUCGUUUGAUAGGGUGUAUUAGAACAAUGUUGAAUAGUGUAUAUUUUUAAAGAUAA